UAGAGUUUGAUCCUGGCUCAGGACGAACGCUGGCGGCGUGCCUAAUACAUGCAAGUCGAGCGGAGAUUGCUUGGAAGGAUUUAUCUGGAAAAGCAAUUUUAGCGGCGGACGGGUGAGUAACGCGUGAGCAAUCUGGCCUUUACAGGGGGAUAACACAGGGAAACUUGUACUAAUACCGCAUAUUAUUAUUUAAUCGCAUGAUUGAGUGAUGAAAGUGGAAACACGGUAAAGGGGGAGCUCGCGCUCUAUUAGACAGUUGGUGGGGUAACGGCCUACCAAGUCAACGAUAGAUAGCCGACCUGAGAGGGUGAUCGGCCACACUGGAACUGAGACACGGUCCAGACUUCUACGGAAGGCAGCAGUAGGGAAUAUUGGGCAAUGGGCGAAAGCCUGACCCAGCAACGCCGCGUGAGGGAAGAAGGUUCUCGGAUUGUAAACCUCUAUCCUUGGAGAAGAUAAUGACGGUAGCCAAGAAGGAAGCCCCGGCUAACUACGUGCCAGCAGCCGCGGUAAUACGUAGGGGGCAAGCGUUGUCCGGAAUGAUUGGGCCGUAAAGGGCUCGUAGGCGGCUAAUCAAGUCUGGAGUGAAAGUCCCUGUUUUUAAGGGGGAAUUGGCUUUGGAAACUGAAUAGCUUGGGGGGAAGAAAAGGUUAGUGGGAACUCCCCGGUGUAGCGGGGAAAUGCGAAAAGAUUGGGAAGAAACCCGGGGGGGCAAAGGGGAAUAACUGGA
rnacentral:rRNA from 1 species